rnacentral:rRNA from 1 species
UUGUUUGGGAAUGCAGCCUCUAAUUGGGUGGUAAAUUCCAUCUAAAGCUAAAUAUUGGCGAGAGACCGAUAGCGAAACAAGUACAGUGAUGGAAAGAUGAAAAGAACUUUGAAAAAAAAGUGAAAAAGUACGUGAAAUUGUUGAAAGGGAAGGGCAUUA